rnacentral:pre_miRNA from 1 species
AGCAAAACACAGUAACUGACGAGUCCGCCAUGUCGAUAACUCCAGUGUCUGUGAUUUUGUUCU